rnacentral:tRNA from 1 species
GGGGUUGUGGCUCAGUGGUACAGCACUUGCCUAACAUGUUUGAGGCACUGAGUUCAAUUCUCAGCACCACA